UGCCCAAUAUGUGGCUCAAACCCACAACCCUGAGAUUAAGAUUCUCGUGCUCUACUGACUGAGCUAUCCCUCAGGGCAUUUGAUGACCUGCAAGCAAAUGCAGAAAAUGUACUACUGCUGCCACAUGAAAUGCUAAUCUUUGUCUAUAUUUGCAUUACAAAUAUGUUUACAUGUUUUACAUGUGGAAUUAUUUUAUUUGAAACUUUUAAUUGUCUUUUUUAACACUUUUCUUGUGUUAUUAUUAUAACUGUUUGAUUUAUUUUAUAACUGUAUAUUUUAUUUUUGUAGCUCACCCUGGGACUUUAUAUUGAAGGGCAAGCAAGCUAUCUAAUAAAAUAAACAAGUUAAAUAAAUAGCCUGAAACAAACAGGAACUGUACUCCAUUUCAAUAUACUGUGUUAAGUAGUUUACAAAUUUUAUAUAUUCACAGCCAAAGAGCACUGCAUGAGAAAAGUGACCCUAAAUGCUAAAUUGGUUAGAACAGCCCUUCCAUGAGUGCAAGAGGUUUUCUUCCAACGGAGAGGCACCUCUGUUUUGGUUUCUAACACAUUCUAAAUUGAAGCCAUCAUUACAAGUCCUACUCCUAGUUAGCUGCCGUAUGUCACGAACAAACAAGAGACAAGACAUCAGUAACAAAUCUCAUAUUUCUGGCAGCUCUAUCCUACUUAGAAGCAAGUUCCUCCAAGAUCAAUGGGAUUUACUUCCAGGAUUUGGUUUAUCUCCGGUCCCUAUUCCAUUCCCACAGUUUCUCGGCAGACUGUGCCAAUAAAUCACUCAGGGGGGAGAAGUUCUUGCUUACAUCUCACACCCACCUCUUAGAAACAUCAGCUGAAUAUAAAUGAAAUGGGACAUUCCCCAAAGAGCCAGCAGCCUACAGGGCAUCAAGCAGCUACAAGUGCACCUUUUACCGCCAGAUUUUCCCCCCUUAUGUAUUCAACAGAAAAAUAAGAUGUAAUUUUUAUACUUCCAGUUUAAGCUACAUGUAAUCCUCAGCCACAUUAUGUGCCAAGGUAUGUAGAAGAACAAAUCACUUUAAAAAGAACAGGGGACAUUCCCCAACACACCACAGCACAAUGGAGGGCAAAGCAUGCACAUUUUUGCUCUCACAUACAUACACCAACCACUCAGCAAUUACUAAAAAUCAUCACUGGAGUGCUGGCCAUGUUAAUUCUUCCCUUCUUUUGUCUUAGUGCACCAGUUUGGGCUUCAAUCCCACCAGCCCUCAAUCUCCUCAGUUCACUAUGAGAGAAAACUGAUAC